GCCAGCCCGCUCAGAAACUCAAGGAAGUUGACGGGGCCCGCACAAGCGGUGGAGUAUGUGGUUUAAUUCGAUGCAACGCGAAGAACCUUACCUGGUCUUGACAUCCCGGAGACCCUUAGGAAACUAGGGGGUGCUUCCAUCUGGAAGAAUCUGGAGACAGGUGCUGCAUGGCUGUCGUCAGCUCGUGUCGUGAGAUGUUGGGUUAAGUCCCGCAACGAGCGCAACCCUUGCCUUUAGUUGCCAGCAGUUCGGCUGGGCACUCUAAAGGGACUGCCGGUGUUAAACCGGAGGAAGGUGGGGAUGACGUCAAGUCCUCAUGGCCUUUAUGACCAGGGCUACACACGUACUACAAUGGCCGAUACAAAGGGCAGCGACACUGCGAGGUGAAGCCAAUCCCGUAAAAUCGGUCUCAGUCCGGAUUGGAGUCUGCAACUCGACUCCAUGAAGUUGGAAUCGCUAGUAAUCGUGGAUCAGCAUGCCACGGUGAAUACGUUCCCGGGCCUU
rnacentral:rRNA from 1 species